CACUGAUCCCUUGAAGGUCCAUGUUAUGGUUGGAGUAGGUCUUCCUUCAACAUGGCAGGUGAACUUGGCAGAGUCAUUCUGUACAACACUCAGUUUCCUUGUCAGAGGUGUGAAACUAGGUAUACUAGCAGGGAUGG